GAUGAACGUUGGCGGUGUGCCUAAUACAUGCAAGUCGAACGGAGAUAAUAGCAAUAUUGUCUUAGUGGCGAACGGGUGAGUAACGCGUUGGUGAUCUGCCCCGAAGUGGGGAAUAACAAUUCGAAAGAAUUGCUAAUACCCCAUGUGAUCUUAGAGAUUUGAUGCUCUUUGAUUAAAGGAUUUAUUCGCUUCGGGAGGAGCCUGCGUCCCAUCAGCUAGUUGGUAAGGUAAUGGCUUACCAAGGCGAUGACGGGUAGGGGACCUGAGAGGGUGGCCCCCCACAAUAGGAACGUAGAAACAACGGUCCGACUACACCUACCGGGUGGGCAG
rnacentral:rRNA from 1 species